GUUUUUCGCAUCAAAAAAUGGGUGUCACAUGGGUUUUCGAAGCAGAACAAACGGCAAAAUCAGUGGAACGACUGUUGGAAUCGAUCGGAGGCGAUCUUCACGGAACAUUUAUCGUCGACGUCACCCCAUUCAAUCCGCCGACACCGAGUUCCGAUUAUCCGUCAAAUGUGGUGAUGCAUCACUCGAAAUGCCCACAAUCAACGUUUUCCAUUUGUGAGCACCCACCCGAGUUUUCAGUGGAAAAAUCGCGAAAAUUGAAGGAAUCUGACCUAAAAACACUGCAACUUUUUUCCUGACGAGGGACGAGGAAAAGUGGUUUCUAGGCCAUGGCCGAGGGGCCGACAAGUUUCAGCGGCCAUUUAUCUUGUAUUGUUUUCCGCCUGUUUUCUUUUGUUUUUCAUCGAUUUUUUUUCGUUUUUUCUUAAUAAAACUGAUAAAUAAAUAUUUUUUGCAGAUGCUAAAACAAUUUCCAAGUAAAAAAAUAAUGUAUUCAGUGGGCAAGCAGCGGUGAAAGUGGGCAUUGUAAUAUGAUGGAUUACGGGAAUACAAAACCUAAACUUUUUCUGAAACAUGAUACAUAUGAUGCUUAGAUGCUGAGACUACCUGAUUUUCAUAACGAGACCGCUGAAAAAGUUUUGAGGUUUUCAAAAUUCAACUUUUUUUGGUGAAAAAGUCGAGAUUUUCGCACAAAACGUUGAAUUUUGAAAACCUCAAAACUUUUUCAGCGGUCUCGUUAUGAAAAUCAGGUAAUUUCAGCAUCUAAGCAUCAUAUGUAUCAUGUUUCAGAAAAAGUUUAGGUUUUGUAUUCCCGUAAUCCAUCAUUUUACAUUGACCACUUUCACCGCUUCUUGCCCACUGAAUACAUAAUUUUUUUACUUGGAAAUUGUUUUAUCAUCUGCAAAAAAUAUUUAUUUAUCAGUUUUAUUAAGAUAAAACGAAAAAAAUCGAUGAAAAACGAAAGAAAACAGGCGGAAAACAAAGCAAGAUAAAUGGCCGCUGAAACUUGUCGGCCCCUCGGCCAUGGCCUAGAAACCACUUUUCCUCGUCCCUCGUGAGGAAAAAGUUGCAGUGAAAAACUGAAAAAUUUCGAAUUUUUUGACCCGAAAACAGCGAAAAUCUGUGAAUUCUGACGUAAAAAAUCGAAAGAUUGUGUGGUUUUUCGAGAAUUUCGUCUCAAAACCCUAAAAAAUCGAUAAAUUUUACAAAUAUCGAGCAUAAAAUCGCCCAAAAUUGUGACUUUUCCGCCAAAAUUCGAUAUCUUUUCUGUAUACACCAUAUUUGACGACAAUUUGCAGAAUUGUCGUAAAAUGCGGUGUUUAUAAACUAAAUUUGUAAUUUUUCACCUAAAAAAUCGAUAAAAACUGCUUUAAAACUGAAAAUUUGCCGGAAAAUUCGAAAAAUGAGUCAUUUUUCACCUAAAAUUCAAAAAUUUCAAGCUUUUUCAGGCCCAAAAGACACGUUCAAAAAAAGCCCGAAAGCUGUUUGUGACCGGGGAUUCGAUUUAAUUCUCAGCAAGCUCAGCAGUGGAUUAAUAGCCGAUAAUGCCGGUAAAAUUGAGGUAAAAAUCGAUUUUUUCAGCGCCGCCGGGUUACGGUAGCCUCGAUUCUGUGCAAACACCACCGCUCCAAUACACCGGAUUUUACGACAGUAAUUGCGGAAACAUGCGUCUUUUCUGCAUUUUGUCGUAAAAUCCGAUGCUUGCACACAAUUGAGACAGACCGUAACCAAAAAUCAAAAAUUUUUCUGAUCAAAAAUGCCUGUUUUAGCGUCAAAAUUUGAAAAAAAAAUCCCGUUUUUCGAACUAAAAGCACGCAAAUUUUCUAUUCUUUUGCAAUUUGUUGUAAAAUUUGGUGCUUUGUACUGGAUUUUACGACAAAAGUCGGAAACGUCGGAUUUUCUGCAUUUUGUCGUAAGAUCCGGUGUACAAAAACUCGAAAAUAUAGAUUUUUAAGCAGAAAAUUGGCAUUUUUGAGAGAAAUUUGUGAAACAUCUCUCUUUUCUUUCUCGUUAUUUCAAGACGAAUUGCAGAAAAGUCGAAGAAAAAUAAAUCCCGAUUUAAUUCGAAUUUUCAACUUAAAAAUCGAUUUUGCAGCUAAAAAAAAUCGAAAAUUUCGGUGAAAAACGACGAAACUCGUAGUUUCUUGGGUUACGGUAGUCGCCAUACACCGAAUCCUACGACAAAAUGCAGAAAACCCCAAUUUUUCUGCAUUUUGUCCUCAGUUUCGGCGUUUGCACUUGUAGCUUUCCGGUUUUUCAGUGAUUUUGAAGAUUUCCGGCAGGGUUUCGUGCUGAAAAUUGGGAAAAAUUGAAUUUUUAAUAAAAUUUUCGGGUUACUGUAGCCUCGAUCGUGUGCAAACACCGAAUCUGACGAGAAAUUGCAGAAAAAUACGAUUCUUCUGCAUUUUGUCGUACGAUUCGGUGUAUGGGAGCUACCGUAACCUAGAAAACUUCGAUUUUUGUUUUUUUUCUGUUUUUUUUGAGGAAAAAUUGAUUUUUUGUUGAAAAUUCGAAAUUUAUUUCCCCAAAAUGGCAAUUUUAACAUUUUUGCUCAAAAAUCGACAAUUUCGGAUUUAGAUACACCGAAUCUGACGGCAAAUUGCAGAAAGUACCAAUUUUUCGGCUAUAAUACCGAGAAAAUCAAUGAAUUGUCUUAAAAAACUGUGAAAUUUGGAACUUUUCAGCAAAUUUUUAUCGAAAAUGAAGCUUUCGCCAAAGUUUCUGCAAUUUGUCGUCAAAUCUUGUGCCUUGGGGCGGUGUUUGCACACAAUCGGGGCUACCGUAGCCAAAAUUGACAAAUUUCGAGUUAAUUUCAUAGAAAAAACCAUUUUUCACCAAGAAAAUGCCAAUUUUGUAAAAAUUCGGGUUACUGUAGCCUCAUUUGUGUGUGCAAACACCAUGAAAAAUCGAUUUUUCUGCAUUUUGCUGUAAAAUAGGUUGCAAAAUUUGAAUUUUUGUGUAAAAAAUGCGGGUGAACUGCAAAAAUUUAUUUUCAAACUUCGAAUUUAGCGUUUUUGAAGUUUUUCAAGGCGAAAAUCUCGAUUUUCACCUGUUUUCGUCAGAAAAUGUUGGUUUUUCCAAAAAAAUCCUGUUUUUUUUUGCAGAUAAUAGGCAAUGAAUACAGUUUGUACAAGGAUUGGAUGAUUCGAGUGGGCACAGCAACCCAAGGGACAACUGUCAAAGGAGUUGUCGUCGAAAUUGAGUACGAUCCGUCGAUUAUUGUGAUUCAGUGCAAGGAUAUGAUGAUCGAAUUCGUGAAAAGCGUCUUCAAUAAAUAU
rnacentral:sRNA from 1 species